CGUAGGGACCAAGCGUUGUUCGGAUUUACUGGGCGUAAAGGGCGCGUAGGCGGCAAUUCAAGUCAUCUGUGAAAUCUCCGGGCUUAACUCGGAACGGUCAGAUGAUACUGCUUUGCUAGAGUGCAGAAGGGGCAAUCGGAAUUCUCGGUGUAGCGGUGAAAUGCGUAGAUAUCGAGAGGAACACCGGUGGCGAAGGCGGCUUACUGGGCUGCAACUGACGCUGAGGCGCGAAAGCGUGGGGAGCAAACAGGAUUAGAUACCCUGGUAGUCCACGCUGUAAACGAUGAUUACUAGGUGUAGGGGACGCAGGUCUUCUGUGCCGGAGCUAACGCAAUAAGUAAUCCGCCUGGGGAGUACGGCCGCAAGGUUG
rnacentral:rRNA from 1 species